rnacentral:rRNA from 1 species
UAGUGAGGUCUUCGGAUUGGCUUUGGGGAGCCGGCGACGGCACCCUAUCGCUGAGAAGUCGAUCAAACUUGGUCAUUUAGAGGAAGUAAAAGUCGUAACAAGGUUUCCGUAGGUGAACCUGCGGAAGGAUCAUUAUCGAAAUUAUAGGUGAGGGUUGUAGCUGGCCUCUCGGGGCAUGUGCACGCCCGAGCCCUUAAUCCACACACACCUGUGAACCUAUUGUAAGGGCCCUUAAAAAAGGCCUUUACGUCUUAUCAUCAACCCAUCGUAUGUCUCAUAGAAUGUAAAUAUAUGUCCUCGCCUUAAAAAGCGUUGAUAAACUUAUACAACUUUCAACAACGGAUCUCUUGGCUCUCGCAUCGAUGAAGAACGCAGCGAAAUGCGAUAAGUAAUGUGAAUUGCAGAUUUUCAGUGAAUCAUCGAAUCUUUGAACGCACCUUGCGCUCCUUGGUAUUCCGAGGAGCAUGCCUGUUUGAGUGUCAUUAAAUUCUCAACUCCGAUCGAUUUGUUUCGACUUCGGAGCUUGGAUUUGGAGCGUGCUGGCGUCGGUCGGCUCCUCUUAAAUGCAUCAGCGGAAUCUAACGUUUCGGACGUCAGUGUGAUAAUCAUGUUGCGCUGUCUGUCUGAUCCGAAAGCCCGCUCACAAUGGUCUUCGGACAACUUCAUAUCAAAUUUGACCUCAAAUCAGGUAGGACUACCCGCUGAACUUAAGCAUAUCAAUAAGCGGAGGAAAAGAAACUAACAAGGAUUCCCCUAGUAACUGCGAGUGAAGCGGGAAAAGCUCAAAUUUAAAAUCUGGCGGUCUUGCGGCCGUCCGAGUUGUAAUCUGGAGAAGCGUUUAUCCGCGUCGGACCGUGUACAAGUCUUCUGG